CCGCGGUGAUACGAAGGGUGCGAGCGUUAAUCGGAAUUACUGGGCGUAAAGGGUGCGCAGGCGGUCUUGCAAGUCAGAUGUGAAAGCCCCGGGCUUAACCUGGGAAUUGCGUUUGAAACUACAAGACUAGAGUGCAGCAGAGGGGAGUGGAAUUCCAUGUGUAGCAGUGAAAUGCGUAGAGAUGUGGAAGAACACCGAUGGCGAAGGCAGCUCCCUGGGUUGACACUGACGCUCAUGCACGAAAGCGUGGGGAGCAAACA
rnacentral:rRNA from 1 species